CCUACGGGUGGCAGCAGUGAGGAAUAUUGGUCAAUGGACGAGAGUCUGAACCAGCCAAGUAGCGUGAAGGAUGACUGCCCUAUGGGUUGUAAACUUCUUUUAUAAAGGAAUAAAACGAGGCACGUGUGCCUUUUUGCAUGUACUUUAUGAAUAAGGAUCGGCUAACUCCGUGCCAGCAGCCGCGGUAAUACGGAGGAUCCGAGCGUUAUCCGGAUUUAUUGGGUUUAAAGGGAGCGUAGAUGGGUUGUUAAGUCAGUUGUGAAAGUUUGCGGCUCAACCGUAAAAUUGCAAUUGAUACUGGCAGUCUUGAGUACAGUUGAGGUAGGCGGAAUGCGUGGUGUAGCGGUGAAAUGCUUAGAUAUCACGAAGAACCCCGAUUGCGAAGGCAGCUCACUAAACUGUGACUGACAUUGAUGCACGAAAGUGUGGGUAUCAAACAGGAUUAGAUACCCCAGUAGUC
rnacentral:rRNA from 1 species